GAAGGUCGGGGGAGCGGAUAGGCCGCGAGGUAAGAGGCGGAACUCCAAUGGUGCAUCGUCUUCCGGAUUCGAACCAUCUUACGACUUUAAACAAUGGUGCUACUGUGCGACACAGCUUAAAGAAAAAAACAGAAAAUUAAAAAAAAAAAAAAAAGACCCAAAUAAAUCUUACAUUUAUUCUUUGUUUGUCUUAAGAAGUACCUCAAAAUGAAAACAAGAGAAAUAUCCACUUAAAGGUGCAAUGAUGGAGGUGUGACAACAUUUCUUUCAUUCUUUCCCUUCCUUCGCGUUUCCUUUCCUCUUUAAAAAAAAAUAAUCACUUUUGAAAUUGUGAACCGUUUCUAGGCAGAAGAUCGCUUUUCUUUUCUGGUUUUUUUUAGUUUUUUUUUUUUUUUUAGCCUUAUUGAUUAGGAGUGGAUUACCAAAUCGGCACUUUGACUUCGGAACAUCCAAGAUGAGAGACGCACUGACGACGAGCUUUUCCUUAGUGAGGCGGACUUUUCUUUUUUGUUGUUGUUUCUACCAGCUCUUCAUUCACUCGCUCCUCCUCUCUCUUCCUCCGUCGUGUUUUCUGUGGUUCGGCGUUUGGUGGUAGUGACCGUGCUGUAGCCCCGCCUCCUCGCCACCGGCCCCAACGCCUUCUUUCUCUUUUUGUGCUGGGCUUUGUGUGUAAAAAGAGGCCCGGAGGUGUGUUGGGCCCGUUUUUCACCUGAAAACCUUCAAAUCCACUUUGGCUCGGCAUUAAAUCCACGAUGGGUCGUGUUGUUCACGCUCGACCGCGUCGGAACGCAAGUGAAAGAAUCGGUGCUUUUAAACCAGCUCCUCUGUACGCAAAGUCUAAACUGCUUUUAUCAAUUCUAAUGACGUCAACCGGGGUGCGAUUAAAAAAAAGUGUAUUUGUUUUCUUUUGUUUAUUUUACAUGUUAUGUUAUCCAGAAGUUGUUAUAAACUUUUAAGACUGAAAUAAAUGCUAUGUCCAAAGUGAA